AGAUUGAACGCUGGCGGCAUGCCUUACACAUGCAAGUCGAACGGCAGCACGGGAGCAAUCCUGGUGGCGAGUGGCGAACGGGUGAGUAAUACAUCGGAACGUGCCCAAUCGUGGGGGAUAACGCAGCGAAAGCUGUGCUAAUACCGCAUAAGAUCUACGGAUGAAAGCAGGGGAUCGCAAGACCUUGCGCGAAUGGAGCGGCCGAUGGCAGAUUAGGUAGUUGGUGAGGUAAAGGCUCACCAAGCCUUCGAUCUGUAGCUGGUCUGAGAGGACGACCAGCCACACUGGGACUGAGACACGGCCCAGACUCCUACGGGAGCAGCAGUGGGGAAUUUGGACAAGUGGGACGAAGCCUGAUCCGAGCCAUCGCCGCGUGCGAGGAUAGGAACGG
rnacentral:rRNA from 1 species